GCCGGUGUAGUUCAACGGUAGAACGAGGGACUCAUAAACCCUAGAAAAUGGUUCAACUCCAUUCUCCGGCACAA
rnacentral:tRNA from 1 species